GACGAACGCUGGCGGCGUGCCUAAUACAUGCAAGUAGAACGCUGAAGGAGGAUCUUGCUUCUCUGGAUGAGUUGCGAACGGGUGAGUAACGCGUAGGUAACCUGCCUGGUAGCGGGGGAUAACUCUUGGAAACGAUAGCUAAUACCGCAUAAUAGUAGAUGUUGCAUGACAUUUGCUUAAAAGGUGCAAUUGCAUCACUACCAGAUGGACCUGCGUUGUAUUAGCUAGUUGGUGGGGUAACGGCUCACCAAGGCGACGAUACAUAGCCGACCUGAGAGGGUGAUCGGCCACACUGGGACUGAGACACGGCCCAGACUCCUACGGGAGGAAGCAGUAGGGAAUCUUCGGCAAUGGACGGAAGUCUGACCGAGCAACGCCGCGUGAGUGAAGAAGGUUUUCGGAUCGUAAAGCUCUGUUGUAAGAGAAGAACGAGUGUGAGAGUGGAAAGUUCACACUGUGACGGUAUCUUACCAGAAAGGGACGGCUAACUACGUG
rnacentral:rRNA from 1 species